rnacentral:rRNA from 2 species
UUAAGCGACUAAGCGUACACGGUGGAUGCCCUGGCAGUCAGAGGCGAUGAAGGACGUGCUAAUCUGCGAUAAGCGUCGGUAAGGUGAUAUGAACCGUUAUAACCGGCGAUUUCCGAAUGGGGAAACCCAGUGUGUUUCGACACACUAUCAUUAACUGAAUCCAUAGGUUAAUGAGGCGAACCGGGGGAACUGAAACAUCUAAGUACCCCGAGGAAAAGAAAUCAACCGAGAUUCCCCCAGUAGCGGCGAGCGAACGGGGAGCAGCCCAGAGCCUGAAUCAGUGUGUGUGUUAGUGGAAGCGUCUGGAAAGGCGCGCGAUACAGGGUGACAGCCCCGUACACAAAAAUGCACAUGCUGUGAGCUCGAUGAGUAGGGCGGGACACGUGGUAUCCUGUCUGAAUAUGGGGGGACCAUCCUCCAAGGCUAAAUACUCCUGACUGACCGAUAGUGAACCAGUACCGUGAGGGAAAGGCGAAAAGAACCCCGGCGAGGGGAGUGAAAAAGAACCUGAAACCGUGUACGUACAAGCAGUGGGAGCACGCUUAGGCGUGUGACUGCGUACCUUUUGUAUAAUGGGUCAGCGACUUAUAUUCUGUAGCAAGGUUAACCGAAUAGGGGAGCCGAAGGGAAACCGAGUCUUAACUGGGCGUUAAGUUGCAGGGUAUAGACCCGAAACCCGGUGAUCUAGCCAUGGGCAGGUUGAAGGUUGGGUAACACUAACUGGAGGACCGAACCGACUAAUGUUGAAAAAUUAGCGGAUGACUUGUGGCUGGGGGUGAAAGGCCAAUCAAACCGGGAGAUAGCUGGUUCUCCCCGAAAGCUAUUUAGGUAGCGCCUCGUGAAUUCAUCUCCGGGGGUAGAGCACUGUUUCGGCAAGGGGGUCAUCCCGACUUACCAACCCGAUGCAAACUGCGAAUACCGGAGAAUGUUAUCACGGGAGACACACGGCGGGUGCUAACGUCCGUCGUGAAGAGGGAAACAACCCAGACCGCCAGCUAAGGUCCCAAAGUCAUGGUUAAGUGGGAAACGAUGUGGGAAGGCCCAGACAGCCAGGAUGUUGGCUUAGAAGCAGCCAUCAUUUAAAGAAAGCGUAAUAGCUCACUGGUCGAGUCGGCCUGCGCGGAAGAUGUAACGGGGCUAAACCAUGCACCGAAGCUGCGGCAGCGACACUAUGUGUUGUUGGGUAGGGGAGCGUUCUGUAAGCCUGUGAAGGUGUGCUGUGAGGCAUGCUGGAGGUAUCAGAAGUGCGAAUGCUGACAUAAGUAACGAUAAAGCGGGUGAAAAGCCCGCUCGCCGGAAGACCAAGGGUUCCUGUCCAACGUUAAUCGGGGCAGGGUGAGUCGACCCCUAAGGCGAGGCCGAAAGGCGUAGUCGAUGGGAAACAGGUUAAUAUUCCUGUACUUGGUGUUACUGCGAAGGGGGGACGGAGAAGGCUAUGUUGGCCGGGCGACGGUUGUCCCGGUUUAAGCGUGUAGGCUGGUUUUCCAGGCAAAUCCGGAAAAUCAAGGCUGAGGCGUGAUGACGAGGCACUACGGUGCUGAAGCAACAAAUGCCCUGCUUCCAGGAAAAGCCUCUAAGCAUCAGGUAACAUCAAAUCGUACCCCAAACCGACACAGGUGGUCAGGUAGAGAAUACCAAGGCGCUUGAGAGAACUCGGGUGAAGGAACUAGGCAAAAUGGUGCCGUAACUUCGGGAGAAGGCACGCUGAUAUGUAGGUGAAGUCCCUCGCGGAUGGAGCUGAAAUCAGUCGAAGAUACCAGCUGGCUGCAACUGUUUAUUAAAAACACAGCACUGUGCAAACACGAAAGUGGACGUAUACGGUGUGACGCCUGCCCGGUGCCGGAAGGUUAAUUGAUGGGGUUAGCGCAAGCGAAGCUCUUGAUCGAAGCCCCGGUAAACGGCGGCCGUAACUAUAACGGUCCUAAGGUAGCGAAAUUCCUUGUCGGGUAAGUUCCGACCUGCACGAAUGGCGUAAUGAUGGCCAGGCUGUCUCCACCCGAGACUCAGUGAAAUUGAACUCGCUGUGAAGAUGCAGUGUACCCGCGGCAAGACGGAAAGACCCCGUGAACCUUUACUAUAGCUUGACACUGAACAUUGAGCCUUGAUGUGUAGGAUAGGUGGGAGGCUUAGAAGUGUGGACGCCAGUCUGCAUGGAGCCGACCUUGAAAUACCACCCUUUAAUGUUUGAUGUUCUAACGUUGACCCGUAAUCCGGGUUGCGGACAGUGUCUGGUGGGUAGUUUGACUGGGGCGGUCUCCUCCUAAAGAGUAACGGAGGAGCACGAAGGUUGGCUAAUCCUGGUCGGACAUCAGGAGGUUAGUGCAAUGGCAUAAGCCAGCUUGACUGCGAGCGUGACGGCGCGAGCAGGUGCGAAAGCAGGUCAUAGUGAUCCGGUGGUUCUGAAUGGAAGGGCCAUCGCUCAACGGAUAAAAGGUACUCCGGGGAUAACAGGCUGAUACCGCCCAAGAGUUCAUAUCGACGGCGGUGUUUGGCACCUCGAUGUCGGCUCAUCACAUCCUGGGGCUGAAGUAGGUCCCAAGGGUAUGGCUGUUCGCCAUUUAAAGUGGUACGCGAGCUGGGUUUAGAACGUCGUGAGACAGUUCGGUCCCUAUCUGCCGUGGGCGCUGGAGAACUGAGGGGGGCUGCUCCUAGUACGAGAGGACCGGAGUGGACGCAUCACUGGUGUUCGGGUUGUCAUGCCAAUGGCACUGCCCGGUAGCUAAAUGCGGAAGAGAUAAGUGCUGAAAGCAUCUAAGCACGAAACUUGCCCCGAGAUGAGUUCUCCCUGACCCUUUAAGGGUCCUGAAGGAACGUUGAAGACGACGACGUUGAUAGGCCGGGUGUGUAAGCGCAGCGAUGCGUUGAGCUAACCGGUACUAAUGAACCGUGAGGCUUAACCUU